AAUAGAUACCCAGGUAGUCCACGCCGUAAACGAUGAGUGCUAAGUGUUAGAGGGUUUCCGCCCUUUAGUGCUGCAGCUAACGCAUUAAGCACUCCGCCUGGGGAGUACGGCCGCAAGGCUGAAACUCAAAGGAAUUGACGGGGGCCCGCACAAGCGGUGGAGCAUGUGGUUUAAUUCGAAGCAACGCGAAGAACCUUACCAGGUCUUGACAUCCUCUGCCAACCCUAGAGAUAGGGCGUUCCCCUUCGGGGGACAGAGUGACAGGUGGUGCAUGGUUGUCGUCAGCUCGUGUCGUGAGAUGUUGGGUUAAGUCCCGCAACGAGCGCAACCCUUGAUCUUAGUUGCCAGCAUUCAGUUGGGCACUCUAAGGUGACUGCCGGUGACAAACCGGAGGAAGGUGGGGAUGACGUCAAAUCAUCAUGCCCCUUAUAACCUGGGCUACACACGUGCUACAAUGGAUGGUACAAAGAGCUGCGAACCCGCGAGGGUAAGCGAAUCUCAUAAAGCCAUUCUCAGUUCGAAUUGUAGG
rnacentral:rRNA from 1 species